rnacentral:rRNA from 1 species
GACGAACGCUGGCGGCGUGCUUAACACAUGCAAGUCGAACGCUGAAGCUCAGCUUUUGUUGGGUGGCUGAGUGGCGAACGGGUGAGUAACACGUGAGUAACCUGCCUCCUUCUUUGGGAUAACGCCCGGAAACGGGUGCUAAUACUGGAUAUUCACUGGUCUUCGCGUGGGGGUUGGUGGAAAGGGUUUUUCUGGUGGGGGAUGGGCUCGCGGCCUAUCAGCUUGUUGGUGGGGUGAUGGCCUACCAAGGCUUUGACGGGUAGCCGGCCUGAGAAGGUGACCGGUAACAGUGGGACGGAGAUACGGCCCAGACUACGACGGGGGGCAGAAGUGGGGAAUAUUGGAGAAUGGGCGCAAGAGUGAUGCAGCGACGGUGAGUGAGGGAUGGAGGCCUUCGGGUUGUGAACCUGUUUCGGUCAUGGUCAAGCCGAAAAAAUGGUUGUGGUGAGGGUAGUGGGUAAAGAAGCGCCGGCUAACUACGUG